UACGUAGGUGGCAAGCGUUAUCCGGAAUUAUUGGGCGUAAAGAGCGCGCAGGUGGUUGAUUAAGUCUGAUGUGAAAGCCCACGGCUUAACCGUGGAGGGUCAUUGGAAACUGGUCGACUUGAGUGCAGAAGAGGGAAGUGGAAUUCCAUGUGUAGCGGUGAAAUGCGUAGAGAUAUGGAGGAACACCAGUGGCGAAGGCGGCUUCCUGGUCUGUAACUGACACUGAGGCGCGAAAGCGUGGGGAGCAGACAGGAUUAGAUA
rnacentral:rRNA from 1 species